rnacentral:rRNA from 1 species
UACGGAGGGAGCUAGCGUUGUUCGGAAUUACUGGGCGUAAAGCGCACGUAGGCGGCUUUUUAAGUCAGGGGUGAAAUCCCGGGGCUCAACCCCGGAACUGCCCUUGAAACUGGAGAGCUAGAAUCUUGGAGAGGCGAGUGGAAUUCCGAGUGUAGAGGUGAAAUUCGUAGAUACUCGGAAGAACACCAGUGGCGAAGGCGACUCGCUGGACAAGUAUUGACGCUGAGGUGCGAAAGCGUGGGGAGCAAACAGG